CAUGUCCCAACUUCCCCCCCAAAAAUGAGAAAUCAAGCCAUUUUUUUUCUAAGGUGCCUAACCCUGCUACAAAUUACACGAAAAGCCCUUUAAAAAACAAAACAAAACAUCCCAGAGCCUCUUACUUAGCAGUGGACUCCGAGGUUUUGAGGCCGGUCAAGCCCCGGGGAGGGGGGUUUGUUUUGCCCGCAGGGGGUGGGGUGGUGUGUACGUCCGUGUGAGAGGUAGUUGGUGGGGGGAGUCAUUUUGGUUAUUAGUAAAUAAAUCAAGCGGCAGAGAAUAUGAGGCCUAGGCAUCUGCUGGAGGAGCCAAGGCCUAGCUCUCCCCCCUUCCCUUCCCAGCACAGCCUGGGUUUGAUCUUGGAGCCCUGCGGAUUGCCAAGAAGGAAAAAAAAAAGAAUCAUAUCGAACCACAAAAGCACAUGGGGCGAAUGUAAAAUAUAAACACGGCGUUGGGCUGUGAGUGGCUGUUAUUAAAGGUCUGAAUUACUAAACAUGAGAGGCGGGGAAAGGCAGGCAGCCAUUUCAAUAAUAUAAACCUCCCCGAAUUAGACAUUAUUCAAAUGAGAGAGGUACCGAGAGGGAGCUAGCCGAGGAGACCCGGGGCAGAGCAUGAACCGCCACAAAACCAGGGAGGGAAAUCCCCUUCCCAGCCCUCCAACUCCGUCCCGAUAGUCCGAGCAGGCAGACCAGGAGCAAUCAAGAAUGUCACCAAGUUAGCUAGCGGCCCGUCCCGGGGCUGGGGGGCUGCCCGCUUCCUUGCCCGCCUCCACCGACCCUCCCCCACCACCCCCCCGGACCCUCAAGACAGGGAAAUGAGUCUCUUGAGUGCCCUCCCCCAAACUGUGCGAAGGUGGCCGGGACGUCCGGGAAAGGACCCAGGAGUCCUCCUCCCUGGAGCCUGCGGUCCCGAAGCCAAGGAAUAGCGGGGAGGGGGCGACUACGCAAAUCCCUCCGGAGCUCCGGCCCAGGUGGCUCUUCCUGGUUCCACCUUCCACAACCAGCUGCCAUUAACAGACAGGUACCCAAGAACUCUGAGAGUGGCAGCAUCUCAAGCCCAUGGAUCCUGCUUCUGGCUCAGAUCCUGCAGCCAUAAUGUGGGGAAGUAACUCCUAUGGAGAAGAGAUCAUCCUAUCCCAUCCCUCCAAGUGCUGACCAAUUGCUUCCUAUGAGACUGCCAGUCCAGAUGAGGCAGCCAGGCACCUUGAAGGUGGGGCAGGAAGUGACUUGGACCAGAUUAUGAUAAUGGUUUCCUGGAAUUGAAUGAUAUAAUACUAGAAAUGGAAGAUGUUUAUUCACCACGAAGAUUCCAUAUGCCAGCUUCCUGUCAUAAUCAAGUACAGUUACUCACAUCAUUUAUGAUUUCCAGUCUUCCUCGUAACUCAUGCUGUGCAUUUUAGGAGUUCUGGGUUUUGUUUAUUUAUUUAUUUUAAAUUGAGCCUUCCUGUCCUAAAAAGGAAAACAGCCUGUGUGUGAAUGAAUCAAUGAAUGGGGGGGAGGGAAGGGAGAGGUACACUUUUCUGGUAUUCACUGAAUUGGAGUGUUCUCUCAAAUUAAUUUUCUGGGAAGCUUUGCUUGUAAUAAAGGAUAACAUUUAAGUGAUAUUGUUUGCAUUCUCUCUUAUAACAAGGCAUAGCACUAGAAUGUUAUCAUUGUGUUUGACUCACAUGGAAUAAAUGUAAAUAUUAAGACUAGGUUCAAAUAAGUCACACUCUGAAGUAUUAAAAUUUAUAGCUAAUGAUGUGGUUUUAUUCAGACUCAUAGUCAUGUUUGACAAUUUUUAUUUAUGAGUUCAUGAAAUAAAAUAAUGUUGACCAGGUUGUGGUAAA